AAUGCUCCUGGUGCCCCACCCACGUCAUUCUCAAGAACGCCAUGAGGCCUGGCUACUGAUAAUGCACGGCUGUACCCUUUUUUGGAUUUCCACGGGAAUCGGGCUAGCAGGCUAGACUUCAGCUGAACCCACAUCUUUGCAAGAUGGAGAAAAGUCCCCAUCACUGCCCAGUCUCUGUGACGCCAGUGCCCGAGUAGCAGUGGCCUCCAAGUCCUGGUUUUGCCAUUUGAUGGUUGUUUGACAUUGGGUUAGAUUACCUAGCCUCACUGAGGCUUAUGCUCUCGAUCCCCCAGAUGGAGAAACCCUGGUGUGUAUCUCUUGUGAACAUUAAAUUAGAUAAUACGUGUUUGUGUCUACA